UAACUGUUGGCAUGAAAAAUACCAUUUAUUCAAUAUAAACUUCAAAAAUUAAAUUGAGUGGAAAGAAACAAGUUCUUUUCUUGAUCCAUUCUGCACUUAUACUCCAAUUCUAUGCCCAACAUGCAGCUUUGUUGCAUGUAUUGUAUGAGUGUCCUCCAUAAUAAAAGCUUUAUUUGAACCUCCCCCCUCCUUCUACAUCACUCAUGGUUAGAUCAAAACAGUAGAGACAAAAACUGAAACAUGCCCGGGGUGCAGAAGGAGUAGGCUAAUGGUGGUGAGGAGGAAGGGGGUUGAUUUUCACAUCUCAGAACUGUUGAGCCUGCAAAUAUUACUGAAAUCACAUCUGGGAACAAAGCUCUUUAAGUAAUUUCACCCAUGAGUGUUGCUAAGCAAUGGAGAAAAGGCGAGGGAGACAGAGAGUGCCUGACUUUAGGAUUAGAAGGACAGAUAGGAGAUAAAAAGUAAGGCUUCCACAUUGCCUUAUUUGUGUGAACUUAUGAGUUUUGUUUUUACUGCCUGUCUUCCCAAACUAUCUGUACUACAAUUAAUCAGGUCUUGUUCAGUGUCUGUACCAAUAUAUACGCAGAGAGCUGAGCUGCAUCCUGGAGCAGUGGCACAAGCAGUUCCGCACCAGAACUGUCAACAUCUGUUUCUGGAUUAAACAGCACUCCAGCAUUGCUCUGUGUACAUGGGAUGCAUUUUCCUGGCAUGCAAAUGGAAUUUUACAGACUGAACAAUGGAAAUUAAUCAAGAGAUUCAGCCUUGUAACCACAUUUUUAUUUAUACACCUUCAAUUAAUAUUUUUAAAAGCAUAGACUCUGAACCAAAUAUUUUAAGCUCAACAUACAAAGGCAACUGCCUGUUGAAGAAACAACCUACAACUUUUCCAUUGAAAGGUGAUAAAUGAAUCUCUGAGAUCGGAAAGUUUCCCAUGCUUAACACAUAAAACAGGUUACCUCUUGUACUAUAUUUUAUUCACACACACAGUCAGCAGCAAAUCAAUGGGCAGCUGCUUUACAGCUCCACAGACACAGUCAAACAAAUUUUUAUCCAUCAAGAAAUCAUACAGGCAGCCCACAAAGUGAUCAAGUGGAAAUAUAAACUGGAAUAGAAGAAAGGUCCUGUGGAUAACCAUAUUAUCAGUUUUAUAAAGCAAAACUCUUGAAAUGGAUGACAUGCAGAAACUAUACAGAGACGCAUGAUGUUGCAUGUUGCUAAUUGACCUAUUUUUUUGUUUCCUUUUGCUUUUUGUUAAUGAAAAGCAAGGAAGGGCAGAAGAAGAAAUCUUUCCUACCAGCAGCAGCAGGGUUGCUGCAACAAGAUGGUAAUUCCCUCCUGCUACUCUGCUGACAACGACCAAGCUUCACAGGAGGAGCAAGGCAUUGUAAUCACGGAAUUAAAAAACAUGGCAGUUUCUAAA